GCAGGGCAUGGGAUUAGAAUUGUCCCUGGAGCUGGUAGAAUAGAAUCCCAGAGAGUCAGUUAAAAAACUGACAAUCUCUUUGGACCUGGAUGAAGGAGGAGGAGUAUUUUCCUGGAGCAUCUUGAGAAACCAUCAUUUAAAUUACAAGGCUGGGAAUAUUUUUGGCUGUGGAGAAGAAGAGUCUUCAUUCUUCUGAUGGACAGAUAGAACAGACCAAGAUGAAGAAACUAAAGCAACCAGGAAUAAGUGACUUGCCCAGGAUCACAUAGCUGGUAUCUGAGGAAGAAUGUGACCUCAUGAAGAUGAAUCUUCCUAAUUCCAAUCCCAGCAUUCUACCCCCUGCACCACCUAACUGUGCCCUGGCAUUUUGCAUUAUGCUAAGCACUAGAGAAACAUAGAAAGGCAAGAAAUAGUCCCUGACCUCAAAGAGCUCACAUCCUAAUGGAAGAGACAACAUGUUGGAAGGUCAGCAUAAGAAAUGGGAAUUUUUUUAAAGUUUUGCAGAAGCUGGAGACAACACAUGAAGGCCAGAAGAUGAAACAGAAAAAGUUUAGAAACUACAUAGUCUCUGACCAAAUACUUAACACAGAUUUUACAAUACAGUGUGUAAAAAUACCA
rnacentral:lncRNA from 1 species